AUUAAUUACAAACGAAGUAUAUAAGAAUUAAUAUAAGGGAUAAGCUAUCCCAUUAUGCAGCAUAUCUUAUAUUACAGUGAAAAACUAUCAUUUGAUAAGAAUGCAUCUUACAGGGGAUCCUUCAGACCCUAGCAACCUCAAUGGUAAACAAUGGACACAAUAUAUUCCAGGGUUGACAUUGUCAAGUUUUAAGCCUUCCACCAGAAUGAUUUCCCUGCUUUCUAGAAAGAUUAGAUGAGUUGGGAUUGCCUCACUCCAAACACCAACAGAUAAGUAAUCAAUUCCAACAAGCUUGAUGUCUGUGUUUUCUACCAGCCAUUUUGCCCCAUCUACUGUAAAUCCCGCAAAGCUUGUGUCAAAUUGUGGUUUGAACAUAAGCCCUCUACACUUGAAUCGCUUUGAAUGUUGUUAAGAUAACUCAAACAUGCAAGUUGGUAGUGGAUUGAUGUGGUGCAUGGUAAACUGUUUAUUUUUUUAUUUGCCUGACUUUGAUUUUGAUUAAGAUUCGAAGUUGAGACCUCAUAAUUUUUGAAAUAAUUUUAAUAAUUUUGAGUUUUUAUUUAUACACCAAUUACCUCUAAAAAUAUCAACUUUUAUAUGCCGACAUAUGUUAAGCAAUGAGCUGUAAUUGAUGCAAACUUACCUGUGAGUGUUUAGUGUCCUGAAAAGCACGCGACGUAUUGCCUUGGGAAUAUUUAGGGACUUCAUAACAUCAGCAGUUAUGUUGGUAUCUCUUGGAACAUCAAUUAAUAGCCCAGGACCGUUAAGCACUUCGAGGUCAAGGGUAUCCACAUCGAAGCCUGCUUCGAAGUAGUGCUCGAAAAAGUUCGCCGGUGUAUCUACGUGUGUACCAGCGUGAACGGAGAUCUUCAGGUCGGAGAUGUAAGCGAACGAUCCAUUCUUCAUGCUGGCUUGGAGCCAGAGAAACUGUCCUAGCCCAUUAUCGGAGCCAUGCCACGGCAUGUCGCUUGUGUAUCUGUGGGUGAUGUCGAAGAUUCUCCCGUUUCCAUAUACUUCCCGGCGGACUGGGAUUAGAUUGUCGUUUUGGGAAGCGAAGAUGGAGGUGUCAGCGGUGCCAGGGAUGGUGGGGUAGGUUGCAGUGGAGGCGGUGGUGGAGAGGCAAGAAAGGAGCAACGACACCAACAAGAGAAGAGAGGUUAUGUUUUUUGGUUCAGUUUUGGCCAUAAGACUAAUGGGAGAUCUUCUGUUCUGCAAAUUUGAUUCCUCGUCAAUAUAAUUUAGUUUGUAGCUUAGCAAAAUAAAUCAUUGAGAGCCAUGAGUUU
rnacentral:misc_RNA from 1 species